rnacentral:SRP_RNA from 10 species
GCUGGGCAUGGUGGCAUGCACCUGUAGUCCCAGCUAUUCAGGAGGCCUGAGCCCAGGAGUUCUGGGCUGUAGUGCACUAUACCAAUCAGGUGUCCGCACUAAGUUUAGCAUCAAUAAGGUAUACCCCCAGGGAGCUGGGGACCACCAGGUUGCCUAAGAAUGGGUGAACCGUUCCGGGUCGGAAAUGGAGCAGGUCAAAGUUCCCAUGCAGAUCAGUAGUGGGAUCAUGCCUAUGUACAGCCACUGCACUCCAGCCUGGGCAACAUAGUGAGACCCUGUCU